AAUAUACAAAUUAUUUACAAUUUUGUUGUUUGAAUGGAUAAACCCAUUGCCUACAUACCAUCACAAAGGUAGGAUCAAAACCUCGUAGUUCGGGGUAAAAAUCUCAAAAUAAGUUGGUGAAUUGUUUUGUCAAAAGCCUUAAGGUCUUUUGUUAUUAAAGGGAGAAAACUCAACCUAAACCAACAAUCCACCAUGUGAGGAGAGCUUCAAC
rnacentral:lncRNA from 1 species